rnacentral:rRNA from 1 species
UGGCGGCGCGUUUAAACAUGCAAGUCAAACGGAUGUAGCAAUACAUCAGUGGCGAACGGGUGAGUAACACGUAGGUAAUCUACCCUCGAGUUUGGGAUAACCUGUCGAAAGGCAGGCUAAUACUGAAUGGUAUCAUGAUAGCGAGAGCUGAUAUGAUUAAAGGAGCGAUUUGCUCGAGGAUGAGCCUGCGGCUGAUUAGCUAGUUGGUGAGGUAAAGGCUCACCAAGGCGACGAUCAGUAGCCGGCCUGAGAGGGUGAACGGCCACAUUGGGACUGAGACACGCCCAAUAACUCACUUAUGGAGUCAA